GAUGAACGCUGGCGGCGUGCCUAAUACAUGCAAGUCGAGCGAGAAGCAAGAAGAUGAAACUUCGGUAGAUUCAUCUUGCGGACAGCGGCGGACGGGUGAGUAACGCGUAGGCAACCUGCCUCUCACAGAGGGAUAGCCAUUGGAAACGAUGAUUAAAACCUCAUAAUAUCGUAGCAACUCAUGUUGCAACGGUCAAAGAUUUAUCGGUGAGAGAUGGGCCUGCGUCUGAUUAACUAGUUGGUGGGGUAACGGCUCACCAAGGUGACGAUCAGUAGCCGACCUGAGAGGGUGAUCGGCCACAUUGGAACUGAGACACGGUCCAAACUUCUACGGAAGGCAGCAGUAGGGAAUCUUGCACAAUGGACGAAAGUCUGAUGCAGCAACGCCGCGUGAAGGAUGACGGCCUUCGGGUUGUAAACUUCUGUUCUUGGGGACGAAACAAAUGACGGUACCCAAGGAGCAAGCCCCGGCUAACUACGUG
rnacentral:rRNA from 1 species